GAUGAACGCUAGCUACAGGCUUAACACAUGCAAGUCGAGGGGUAACGAGAGGAAAGCUUGCUUUCCUUGUCGACGACCGGCGCACGGGUGAGUAACGCGUAUCCAACCUGCCCCCAACUAGGGAAUAACCUUGCGAAAGUAAGACUAAUACCCUAUAAUUUCCUCAGAUGUCAUCUGACGAGGAAUAAAGAUUUAUCGGUUGUGGAUGGGGAUGCGUCUGAUUAGCUUGUUGGCGGGGUAACGGCCCACCAAGGCAAAGAUCAGUAGGGGUUCUGAGAGUAAGGUCCCCCACAUUGGAACUGAGACACGGUCCAAACUCCUACGGGAGGCAGCAGUGAGGAAUAUUGGUCAAUGGGCGGAAGCCUGAACCAGCCAAGUAGCGUGCAGGAUGACGGCCCUAUGGGUUGUAAACUGCUUUUAUACAGGAAUAAAGUUAGCCACGUGUGGUUAUUUGUAGGUACUGUAUGAAUAAGGACCGGCUAAUUCCGUGCCAGCAGCCGCGGUAA
rnacentral:rRNA from 1 species